ACUAAGCGCCGUCUCUUCUCCGCUGGGGUUUCCACGUUCAAAUUCCGCGCCCUUUUCCCCAUCUUCCCGGGUGCCUUCUUUGUGUCUGCUGUUUUGUGGUGGAGUUUGGGAUUGUAAAGUGCUGAAGGUGGUGGAGUGAUAUCCAAGCCUCCGAAUGACCUUCAUUUUGCUUUCGUCGGGGAGUCUCUCCAGUUGAGUGCUCAUAGCCAAACUCGGGGCCACUGAAACACGGCGCCUGGGUUGAUUUGGCGUGGUGUUGGAUUUCGUUUUCUCUGCUGAAUCAACUAGUGGUAUGCGCCAUUCGUGGUUGAGGGUUUUUUGCUUUAGGAUAUUCCAGCGUUGACAGAGCUUAGGAGACCUCACCAAAGCUAGAGGCGCCAUUCUUGCGCUUGUUAUCGGAUCCAGCAUGCCUCGAUUUGAUGAUGUUUCAAGUUCAUUGGCAUAUAUGGCCACGGAGGUGCCUCCAUUGUUGCUCGACUAAUGUUUAAUGAAGCAUAAAGGAAUUGAUUAUUCAUGCAAUCAAACGCUACUACUAAUACGACGACGACGACGACGGAACAAACGGGUGUAAUUAAAUGUGGGUGUUCUGUAUUACCUCGGACAAUGCAAUAAACAAAUCAUUGUUAUAGAACUUGGAAACUUCCCACCUUGUAAUCGGUGAUCAGCAGACGUGGAAAACCCAAUAUUGGGUACCUCCUUGAGAGCAGUCGAUGAUACUUUCAAGCUUUUCAUGCAAGUUGCUAUUACAUAAUGCGUGUUCAAGACAAAUUGAUCGUCCCUGGAGCCGAUUUCAUGCCAGUGUGGGUUCUUGGUUGGUGGUUUGGCACCACGCACCAUUCCAGGAUUUCGGGUUGCGAAGAGAACAAGCUCCUCACUUAUUCAAGUUAAGCUAGGCAUUGAAAUCGGACGCCAAUGCGCAAUCGCAUGCAGAAGCAGCUGAACUUACGACUUUCUCAAUGCUUUCAUCCUUUCCAAUGUGCGGGUUGAGGAGUCUUUCACAAUAGCAUCCUUCCAAAAAGAUCACACCCACCGGUCGAUUGGACGAGUCAUUAUCGUAAUAGAACAACAAAUUCUGAAGAAGAAGCUCGGGAGCCAUUUUGUGCUGUCCGAUGAUCGUUUGUAAAGGUAUCCGGAUAGCCGGGAGUCAUUUCUCGCUUUCUCGGCCAGACCGAGAAGCUGGCCGUCAUUGAUUCGAAUGGAACGCUGAUACCUCUGCAUUUUGGGACUCAGCAUCAUACCAGACAUGGCCCCAUGCAUGCUAGUAUUUUAUCGGAAAUCCGUGGUGACGCUGGAAGAAGACGUGACGAACUUUCAAAUAGAUGUACUUUCCUUUGGAAGUGUCCAGAAUUGAGCAAUCGAGUCCCAGUUGGUCCUUCGAGGGACGGACCCGAUUGGGGAAGAAAAUAUCCUGGUUUCUGAAACAACCUUACACGCCGUUUUCUGGACUUCAUGCAGAUAAGGGAUUUCUAAUUUGGCAAAUGGAAACAGGGUUCCAUUACAGUUUUCCAGCGGAUCAUCUUGUUUGAACACAAGUCACGCACAACGGGAUCGUAUGUCGUCUCUCCAACUAAAAUAGCUUCUAAAAGUACAAUUCACAAGUAUGGCUUUGACCAAACCAAGACAUUGGUUGGUUUCAAGACCAAGGAUUCACGGAUGAUUGAAUGCGUGUGAGUUCAAAAUCGCUCGAUUUAACACGUUGUCCUUUUCCUCAUGUUCUGUUAGGGGAACAAAUAUGAACCUGACAAUACGAACGAUGAGAUC